GGGUUUAAUUCGAUGAUACGCGAGGGAACCUUACCCGGGCUUGAAUUGCAGAGGAAGGAUUUGGAGACAAUGACGCCCUUCGGGGCCUCUGUGAAGGUGCUGCAUGGUUGUCGUCAGCUCGUGCCGUGAGGUGUCGGCUUAAGUGCCAUAACGAGCGCAACCCCUCUCCUUAGUUGCCAUCAGGUCAAGCUGGGCACUCUGGGGACACUGCCACCGUAAGGUGUGA
rnacentral:rRNA from 1 species